UACGAGGGGGGCAAGCGUUGUUCGGAAUUAUUGGGCGUAAAGGGCGCGUAGGCGGUGCGGUAAGUCUGAUGUGAAAUCUCCGGGCUCAACUCGGAGUCUGCAUCAGAAACUGCCGUGCUUGAGUGUGGGAGAGGCGCGUGGAAUUGCAGGUGUAGCGGUGAAAUGCGUAGAUAUCAGGAGGAACACCAAUUGCGAAGGCAGCUCGCUGGAACGUAACUGACGCUGAGACGCGAAAGCGUGGGGAGCAAACAGG
rnacentral:rRNA from 1 species